UACGGAGGGUGCAAGCGUUAAUCGGAAUUACUGGGCGUAAAGCGCACGCAGGCGGUUGGAUAAGUUAGAUGUGAAAGCCCCGGGCUCAACCUGGGAAUUGCAUUUAAAACUGUCCAGCUAGAGUCUUGUAGAGGGGGGGUAGAAUUCCAGGUGUAGCGGUGAAAUGCGUAGAGAUCUGGAGGAAUACCGGUGGCGAAGGC
rnacentral:rRNA from 1 species